GCAGCCGCGGUAAUACGUAUGGGGCGAGCGUUAUCCGGAAUCAUUGGGCGUAAAGCGCGCGUAGGCGGCUGUCCAAGCGGGGCGUCAAAUCCCGGGGCUCAACCCCGGGCCGCGCCCCGAACUGGGCGGCUUGAGUCCGGUAGGGGGAGGCGGAAUUCCCGGUGUAGCGGUGAAAUGCGCAGAUAUCGGGAAGAACACCGGUGGCGAAGGCGGCCUCCCGGGCCGCGACUGACGCUGAGGCGCGAAAGCUAGGGGAGCGAACAGGAUUAGAUACCCC
rnacentral:rRNA from 1 species